ensembl:lncRNA
CGGAGCAGGAGGCAGAGCGCGGCGGCGUGGACAGCGUGGGUUCUUUGUGGCUUGAGAAAAACCCAAGCACAGACUCAGCAGCCCCAAGCAGGAAGCUUAGAGAACGGGGCUGAGGACAUAUAAGCCCAGCUGCCAGAUGGUCCCUUUUCAUGCCAGUCUGCCCAGAGGUGCCUUCAUCCCGUCAACUCUUGAUUAGGCAUCUGUCUAAAGGUUAAGUUUCCAUCUUCCCUCAUGGACUGCUGAAGGACAUGACCUCAGAGUUCUCCCAGAGUCUGUCUUACUGAUUUGACCCCUCACUGCUUCCCUGCUCUCCAGUGACCACAUGGACAUCUACAUUAGUUCCCUGUGUAAAUCAAUUCUAGAGUCUGUUGUGUUGGACAGUGCCCUCCAAUUUAAAGCCACCAUCCCAACGUCAUAAUUUCUUCAGAUUGUCCAACUCAGUCUUUUGGUCAUCACUGAAAUCCUCAUCCUAUUCCAACUCUCCAUUGAUGGAUGUCUCGACAGACUCGGGGACAGUUUUUACCCAGAGGCUGAGAGGCUGAUGGACUCGAGGACUGUUAAAGCACAGUGCACUUUAAAUAAGCACUUUACAUACACUUUCAGAGCUUAAAUUGCAGUAUUUUAUGGGCUGAUUACGGGCAGGGAUUGUUUUAAAUUCUAUUUAUUGUACUUUUUAUGUAUUUAAUGCUGCUGACCCAGGACCUGAGUACAGUGUUUCGUUUCUGGGUGUUAUUUAUACUGAAAUGACAAACUUGAAACUUUGCAACACACUCCUUUAACACAUUUUUCAACCCAUUUUAAAAUGCACCUGUUUAUGGGUUUCGAAUUGAUAACUGCCGACCCCUUCAAUAGUUUGUUUUCCUUAUAACGUUCGCGCAUCAUGUUUUAAUUGCAGGACGGCCUAUGCGUGUUCUGUAUUUUUUUUGUGUGCCUUCUAUAGACAAUCAUUCUUAAGCAGUCAAUGUUAAAAUGAGAUACAUUGUAGCAGUGUGCUGUUAUGAGGUUCACUGACCCUUUUUUUCUUGAACCCAUAUAAACAUCCCAUGUAAACAUUUUGAGUAAUAAAAUGUUCAAGUAUCUGUCUCAAAUGAAUAUGUAAUAUGUGUAAUAAAAUAUUGGUUAUGCAG